CAACAGGGAUUGCCCUAGUAACGGCGAGUGAAGCGGCAACAGCUCAAAUUUGAAAUCUGGCCCUCGGGUCCGAGUUGUAAUUUGUAGAGGAUGCUUUUGGUGAGGUGCCUUCCGAGUUCCCUGGAACGGGACGCCAUAGAGGGUGAGAGCCCCGUCUGGUUGGACACCAAACCUCUGUAAAGCUCCUUCGACGAGUCGAGUAGUUUGGGAAUGCUGCUCUAAAUGGGAGGUAUAUGUCUUCUAAAGCUAAAUAUUGGCCAGAGACCGAUAGCGCACAAGUAGAGUGAUCGAAAGAUGAAAAGCACUUUGAAAAGAGGGUUAAAUAGUACGUGAAAUUGUUGAAAGGGAAGCGCUUGUGACCAGACUUGAGCCCGGUUAAUCAUCCAGCCUUCUGGCUGGUGCACUUGGCCGGCUCAGGCCAGCAUCAGUUCGGCGUGGGGGAUAAAGGUUUCGGGAAUGUGGCUCCUCCGGGAGUGUUAUAGCCCGUUGCGUAAUACCCUGUACUGGACUGAGGUUCGCGCAUCUGCAAGGAUGCUGGCGUAAUGGUCAUCAGCGACCCGUCUUGAAACACGGACCAAGGAGUCGUCCUCGUAUGCGAGUGUUCGGGUGUCAAACCCCUACGCGUAAUGAAAGUGAACGCAGGUGAGAGCUUCGGCGCAUCAUCGACCGAUCCAGAUGUUCUCGGACGGAUUUGAGUAAGAGCAUACGGGGCCGGACCCGAAAGAAGGUGAACUAUGCCUGUAUAGGGUGAAGCCAGAGGAAACUCUGGUGGAGGCUCGCAGCGGUUCUGACGUGCAAAUCGAUCGUCAAAUAUGGGCAUGGGGGCGAAAGACUAAUCG
rnacentral:rRNA from 1 species